rnacentral:lncRNA from 11 species
UGCAAUUUUAAUAUAAACAAAGCAAAGGGGUCUGGAUAGGAGAAUGUGUUUGGUUUUGAUUUCUCCUACAUGGAUUUUUUAAGGUUCUUUCCAUCUUCAAUAUGAGGAUGUUUUGGAAUCAAGGUACAUUCUUAUUUUUUAAAAGAAUGUACUGAAGCAAACUUCCCACAUGCCCUUGAUUGUAUACAGCUGUGCUUAGCACAUAUUUUAAACAAUACUCAGCCUUUCCAUGUGGUAAGUUGGUUGUCUGCAUUCACUGCCUGUUCUUUUGUGUUUUUAUUUUGUGAUGACUUCCAUCCUUCAGAAAAAACCUCUUGUGAAAGAAGGCAGGACAGAAAUGUUUUUAAUCUUUUGUUCAUUCAUAUAUUACUUUUGAAAUAAUGCUGUAAAUAGAGAUUUCAACAGUAGCUGAGAAUGCCUGUUUCAAGCUGAGUUCAAUGUAGUGGUGAGUUCCUUCAAUGGCCCCACAUAAUCUAAGUGUCUCUAAACAAGGGAGAGGCAAAAAGUCAGAAAGCUCUAAAUAUUAAAAUGUUUCUUAAAACAGCAUGGUGUAGUGCUUUAAGUACUGAACUCUACAACCUUAUCACACUGGGGCUGUAACGCAGCAGCCCCAUUCUUCUGGCAUGAGCAGAAUUCUAGGAAAUGUAGUUUGUGAAAGUGAGGACCUCUGUAGCAGAGUAUUCAAAAGGCCCCUCCCUAAACUACAGUUCCCAGAAUUCUGCUUGCACCAGAAGAACAGGGCUACCCAUGUUAAAGCUUCAGUGUUAUAAGGGGUAAGACUCUGGAGACAAGGAUUCAAAUCCUCAUUCAGCCACUGUGUGAUCUUGGGGAAGUCACACUCUUCCAGCCUCAGAGGCAGAGAGAUCUUGGCUGCCAAAAUGCAUUAAAAAACCUGGAUCACACUUCUGAACUGAUUCUACUUUCUGACAUUGCUGCGGUUCCUUGCCCAUCAAAUAACAUGUCUGAAUGCCAAAUUGAAACACUGAGAUGUAUGCCUCUUUCAAAAGCAGUGUAUGAUGCGAUUUGUCUGCAACAACCCUUUGCAACAAUCACAGGAGAAGGAGCAACAACAAUGGCAAGGCUUGAAAGAGUUACACUGGCAGUCCUGCAAAAGUAUUUUAAAACGUAAGAAGGAUGAUGAAGAAAUAAAGACACUUCAGGAAGAAAGAGCUGCCCUUACUUAAAGGAAAUUUGCUUGCCAAAGAAAAACAAAUUUUAUUCCUGUGUCUGUGAGACUGACUCAGUGUAAAACCAGAGAGGUUAUUAUUUAAACCAGAGGUGCCAAGUAAUGAUGUGCUCAUUGUUGUUCAGUGCAUCAGACCUAAUGUGUUCCAGAUCCAAUUUGCAUAAGUGCUGGAAAAAGUAGCAUGUGAUCAUGUAAUUAAGGACCAUCAGCACAAUUCUCAAAGCAUUUGUGUCAGCAGGAGUCCCAUUGAAGCCAAUGGGACUCCCACUUGGGUUGUUCUUUCAAGAGAGUCCUGUAUAUCAACAUGAAUACACACAGGGGUCCUGAUGGAAGGCUGGAUGGGCAACAUUGAUUCUAGUAUUCAUGAUUUAUUGAGAGAGUCUGCAAGCUUACUAUUAAUUUAACAACGCAUAUUUGCAAAUAUGUCUGCCUGUAUGAUAUCUGUAUUAUCCAUCCUUUGCCCAUGCAGAAAAUAUCACCUGCUUUGAAAGAAUACACUUAAGUUUUUUUCUGUAUAGAAAUUAAUUUUUGUAAAUUCAGAUAUGCUCUUUGUUUUGUUUUUUAAUGUGCAAUUCCAAUGUUUAACUUUUAGCAAUUUAAUUGUGAGCCUUUAUUGUCAGUUUCUAUGUCAAUUAUGGGAGAGGGCUUCAGUUGAUGUUUGGAACAAUACUCUAAACAAAGUUGUUCCGUAUAUUAUUGGAUUCUUAAACUACCUGGUUUUAUAUUGAGUAAAAAAAAACAAUGGAAUCACUUGUUAACAAUAUUUUUCAUUUGGGAUUAGCAUCAAUUAAAAUACACAUAGUUAAUGAAGUUAGCAAACACGGAAAUGCACCAGGAUUUUCCUGUUGGUUCCCUUCUUUCCUUAGUUGAGAGAAAUUCCUGAACUGGUAAUUGGGAAAACAGCUAAAUUUAAGGAAAACCUGAAGAUGGAUGAGCAUGCUGAAAGAAGAACUAACAAAGUUGUUUCAUUAUACUACAUUACUAUAUUCCAUGCCAGGGCUUUAAAAUCUAUGGCCAGAAAAUAUCUUUUUGCGCAUAGCUUCUCCUAAACAGCAUUAUGUGGUAAUAGUAAAAUAGUCAGCUUAUUUCUACAUUACUGUUUGUUUUUCUUAAUUGCUGUCUGAUAAAGUUCAGUAAUAUUAGCAUCUAACCCUUAAGAAGCAAAACAAUGAUAAGGUGGUAGUAGAGGGGAAUAAUUAUUAGAUAGGAAACAACAACAUCUCUCAAAUUUUUGGUUCAGUAAAGAUGAAAACAUGUAAAGCAAAAUAAAUUUGGCAUGCUGUGUUGCUUUGGAUAAAGAAAGUAACCUCUUUUAAUCUCUGCAGAUGGCUUUUCUCAUGCUACAUUCUUAUGAUAGUGCAGAAAGCCCAUGGACCUUCAUACAUCAGUAACAGAUGUGAGUUCUAUUAUUAAUGUUUUAAAAAGUACUGCAAUACCUUUAUGUUCUGCAAGGCGCUCAUCAAAAUGUAAUGUGUGGUUGGUGUCAGCUGCUGACAUCUAGAAAGAAAAUGAUAUUACAUAUCUGUGUAAUGAAGAAGCUGGAAUUUGCUGGAUCAUCCUCUCUGAGUGAAUAAUUUCAUUUGGUGUACCAAAAAAUAUUUCCCACCUGGCUAUGGUACAUAUGCAAUAUGAGACAUUGUGAAGAAAUAUAUAAAGAUGCAAUUCAGGAUUUCAUGCAGAAAUCCCUGUUUGUUUGUCUGAGAGAGAGAAUGUACAUAUCUAAUGUGUCAUUCAAGAAAAGCUUUGCAAAUAAUGCAAGAUGAAAUGGAAGUGCCUCUAAAUGUUCUAAAUGCUGUGUAUUAUGCGUUCAAGCCGCACUAUACAGGAGGGGAAUGUGUGUGCGUUGUCUUCCAUGUAUCCUCUGAUGCUAAUUAGAAAAAAGUUCAGUUCAUCAGUUUUUGCUUAUAUUUAGAAAUGUGGCAGAUUUUGUGUAUAAAUUUAACUCUGAACCCUUGUGCAAUUCCUCUUCAUAAACAAAACUGAGUUGUAGAACAUUUUUGAAAUGGCAAUUGUGUGCUGCAUUUAUGGUUUACAAUAAAUUGAAACAAUACAUAAG